UGGGGAAUAUUGCACAAUGGGGGAAACCCUGAUGCAGCGACGCCGCGUGAACGAAGAAGGUAUUCGUAUCGUAAAGUUCUGUCCUAUGGGAAGAUAAUGACAGUACCAUAGAAGAAAGCUCCGGCUAAAUACGUGCCAGCAGCCGCGGUAAUACGUAUGGAGCGAGCGUUGUCCGGAAUUAUUGGGCGUACAGGGUACGCAGGCGGUUUAAUAAGUCGAAUGUUAAAGAUCGGGGCUCAACCCCGCAAAGCAUUGGAAACUGCUAAACUUGAGUAGUGGAGAGGAAAGUGGAAUUCCUAGUGUAGUGGUGAAAUACGUAGAUAUUAGGAGGAAUACCAGUAGCGAAGGCGACUUUCUGGACACAAACUGACGCUGAGGUACGAAAGCGUGGGGAGCAAACAGG
rnacentral:rRNA from 1 species